UUUAAAACAGCUAAUAGAGCUAACCCGUCUCUGUUGCAAAAGAGUGGGAUGAUUUUCAAGUAGAGGUGAAAAGCCUACCGAACUUAGAGAUAGCUGGUUGUUCAAGAAAAGAAUUUUAGUUCACCCCUAAGUCUACCUAUUAAACUAAUAAACAAAUCGGACUUAAGAGCUAAUCAAAUAAGGCACAGCUUAUUUGAUAAAGGAGACAACCUACAAAAAAGGGUAAAACAAUUACAUAAAUCAAGUGGGCCUGAAAGCAGCCACCUUUAAGAAAGCGUUAAAGCUCUAUUUAAAACCUAUCAAAAUUCCAAAACAUACCUUAAACCCUUUAUCCCUAUUGAAUGACUCUAUAACAAUAUAGAAGCCCUAAUGCUAAAACUAGUAACAAGAAACUGCAUUCUCCAAAAUACAAGUAUAAGCCAAACUGGACAGACCAUUGGCAGUUAACACUAAUAAACUUAAUAUAACAACAACACAAGAAAACCUUAUAAUUUUUCAUGUUAAUCUAACACAAGUGUAUUUCUGGAAAGAUUAAAAGAAAGGGAAGGAACUCGGCAAAUUUUAACCCCGCCUGUUUACCAAAAACAUCGCCUCCUGAAAAUUAUAGGAGGUCCAGCCUGCCCAGUGAUAUAUUAAACGGCCGCGGUACCCUGACCGUGCGAAGGUAGCAUAAUCACUUGUUCUCUAAAUAAGGACUAGUAUCAACGGCAUCACGAGGGUUACACUGUCUCCCCAUUCUAAUCAGUGAAACUGACUUUCCCGUGAAGAGGCGGGAAUUAUUAUACAAGACGAGAAGACCCCAUGGAGCUUUAAACCCAAGAGCAGCCUUUAUAGAAUCCUACCUCAAAAUUUUUAGGUGUUGCCCAUUGGCUUUAGGUUGGGGUGACCACGGAGUAAAACUUAACCUCCAUGACGAAUAGACUUUCCAUCUUUAUCUUAGAGCUACCGCUCCAAGAAUCAAAAAUUUGACGCAACCUGAUCCGAUUAUCGAUCAACGAACCAAGUUACCCUGGGGAUAACAGCGCAAUCCAUUUUAAGAGCCCCUAUCGACAAAUGGGUUUACGACCUCGAUGUUGGAUCAGGGUAUCCCAGUGGUGCAGC
rnacentral:rRNA from 1 species